UACGAAGGGGGCUAGCGUUGUUCGGAUUUACUGGGCGUAAAGCGCACGUAGGCGGAUUGUUAAGUCAGGGGUGAAAUCCUGGAGCUCAACUCCAGAACUGCCUUUGAUACUGGCAAUCUAGAGUCCGGAAGAGGUGAGUGGAAACUCCUAGUGUAGAGGUGGAAUUCGUAGAUAUUAGGAAGAACACCAGUGGCGAAGGCGGCUCACUGGUCCGGUACUGACGCUGAGGUGCGAAAGCGUGGGGAGCAA
rnacentral:rRNA from 1 species